GCCGUUCCACCGCGGCCAUCACGUCGCCGAUCGCGCCGGCGAUCAGCUGCUUGCGGAUCAGCGGUUCGUCGCCGCUGGUGCGGUUC
rnacentral:tRNA from 1 species